rnacentral:rRNA from 1 species
AGAGUUUGAUCAUGGCUCAGAACGAACGCUGGCGGCGUGCCUAACACAUGCAAGUCGAACGAGAAAGGGGCUUCGGCCCUGAGUAAAGUGGCGCACGGGUGAGUAACACGUGGGUAACCUGCCUUUGAGAUCGGGAUAACCUGUCGAAAGAUGGACUAAUACCGGAUAAGACCACGGUUUCUUAGGGGGCCGGGGUCAAAGAUAGCCUCUACAUGUAAGCUAUCGCUUGAAGAUGGGCCUGCGUACCAUUAGCUAGUUGGUAGGGUAACGGCCUACCAAGGCAAAGAUGGUUAGCUGGUCUGAGAGGAUGAUCAGCCACACUGGAACUGAGACACGGUCCAGACUCCUACGGGAGGCAGC